GAUCCUGGCUCAGGAUGAACGCUGGCGGCGUGCCUAACACAUGCAAGUCGAACGAGGUAUUUUGAUUGAAGUUUUCGGAUGGAUUUCAAGAUACCGAGUGGCGGACGGGUGAGUAACGCGUGGGUAACCUGCCUCAUACAGGGGGAUAACGGUUAGAAAUGACUGCUAAUACCGCAUAAGCGCACAGUACCGCACGGUACAGUGUGAAAAACUCCGGUGGUAUGAGAUGGACCCGCGUCUGAUUAG
rnacentral:rRNA from 1 species